rnacentral:rRNA from 1 species
AGUGCGAAUGCUGACAUAAGUAACGAUAAAGCGGGUGAAAAGCCCGCUCGCCGGAAGACCAAGGGUUCCUGUCCAACGUUAAUCGGGGCAGGGUGAGUCGACCCCUAAGGCGAGGCCGAAAGGCGUAGUCGAUGGGAAACGGGUUAAUAUUCCCGUAC